rnacentral:rRNA from 1 species
AAAGCGACCUCAGCUCAGGCGGGGCU